CAGAGAACAGACUAGAGAAUAUGGGUAGAGGGUAGAAUUUGAAUAAGAAUGAGACAGCACUUCAAAGUAUUAGCACCGCCUAGAAACAGAAUGGAAGAUGUGAGACUGUGAGCUUCUCACUCAAGUCAGAGACUGGGCAGCUACUGAAUAGUUCAGAGAUUCAAACAAGGCACAAGGACUGGACUGGGACCCAUACAAACUCAGAUUCCAUAGGAAUGCGCAUUUAUGGCAAUAAUUAUGAAGGUACAUCCUAGAGUCUGGAAGGAGAACCCAAUGUCAAAUCCACAUCUAGUGUCAACUGUAAUGCAUCUGGCUGUAUACAAGCACUGGACCAUCAGAGACAUGCCGAGUGACUAUGUGAACGAGGAGUCAGCAAGACACCCAAAGGUGGGCAGUCUCUGGCUGCUUUGGCAGCUCAUGGACUCAUCAAUGAAC
rnacentral:lncRNA from 1 species